rnacentral:rRNA from 1 species
GUCGAGCGAUGAGAUCACUUCGGUGAAGGAUUAGCGGCGAACGGGUGAGGAACACGUGAAGAAUCUGCCUUCGACUCUGGGAUAACUCCGGGAAACCGGGGCUAAUACCGGAUAUGAGCCUUGGCCGCAUGGCCGGGGCUGGAAAGUUUCUCGGUUGAAGAUGACUUCGCGGCCUAUCACCUUGUUGGUGAGGUAAUGGCUCACCAAGGCGACGACGGGUAGCCGGCCUGAGAGGGCGACCGGCCACGCUGGGACUGAGACACGGCCCAGACUCCUACGGGAGGCAGCAGUGGGGAAUAUUGGGCAAUGGAGGAAACUCUGACCCAGCGACGCCGCGUGCGGGAUGAAGGCCUUCGGGUUUAAACCGCUUUCAGCAGGGAAUAAGCGAAAGUGAAGGUACCUGCAGAAGAAGCACCGGCUAACUAUGUGCCAGCAGCCGCGGUAAUACAUAGGGUGCAAGCGUUGUCCGGAAUUAUUGGGCGUAAAGAGCUCGUAGCUGGUUUGUUACGUCGGAUGUGAAAUGCAGGGGCUCAACCCCUGACUUGCAUCCGAUACGGGCAAGCUAGAGUUUGGUAGGGGAGACUGGAAUUCCUGGUGUAGCGGUGGAAUGCGCAGAUAUCAGGAGGAACACCGAUGGCGAAGGCAGGUCUAUGGGCCAAUACUGACAUUGAGGAGCGAAAGCGUGGGGAGCGAACAGGAUUAGAUACCCUGGUAGUCCACGCCGUAAACGGUGGGCGCUAGUUGUGCGAACCUUCCACGGUUUGUGCGACGCAGAUAACGCAUUAAGCGCCCCGCCUGGGGAGUACGAUCGCAAGAUUAAAAAUCAAAUGAAUUGGCGG